rnacentral:snRNA from 1 species
AUUUUUACUGCCCUCUUGUAGUAUCUGUUCUUAUCAGUUUAAUAUCUGAUGUGUCCUUUAUUUGAGGACUGUAUAUUAAAUUGAUUUUUGGAACAGGGGGAUGGAAUAGGAGCUUGCUCUGUCCACCCCAUGCAUCGACCUGGCAUUGUAGUGCCUCCGGGAGCGGGGCAUCUCCU